rnacentral:rRNA from 1 species
UACGAGGGGGGCGAGCGUUGUUCGGAAUUAUUGGGCGUAGAGGGUGCGUAGGCGGUUUUGUAAGUCUUAUGUGAAAUCUAUGGGCUCAACCCAUAGACUGCAUGAGAAACUGCAGGGCUUGAGUAUGGGAGAGGUGAGUGGAGUUCCUGGUGUAGCAGUGAAAUGCGUAGAUAUCGGGAAGAACACCCGUGGCGAAGGCGGCUCUCUGGGACGGUACUGACGCUGAGACGCGAAAGCGUGGGGAGCGAACAGG